UGGGGAAUUUUGGACAAUGGGCGAAAGCCUGAUCCAGCAAUGCCGCGUGUGUGAAGAAGGCCUUCGGGUUGUAAAGCACUUUUGUCCGGAAAGAAAUCCUUGGCUCUAAUACAGUCGGGGGAUGACGGUACCGGAAGAAUAAGCACCGGCUAACUACGUGCCAGCAGCCGCGGUAAUACGUAGGGUGCAAGCGUUAAUCGGAAUUACUGGGCGUAAAGCGUGCGCAGGCGGUUUGCUAAGACCGACGUGAAAUCCCCGGGCUCAACCUGGGAACUGCAUUGGUGACUGGCAGGCUAGAGUAUGGCAGAGGGGGGUAGAAUUCCACGUGUAGCAGUGAAAUGCGUAGAGAUGUGGAGGAAUACCGAUGGCGAAGGCAGCCCCCUGGGCCAAUACUGACGCUCAUGCACGAAAGCGUGGGGAGCAAACAGGAUUAGAUACCCUGGUAGUCCACGCCCUAAACGAUGUCAACUAGUUGUUGGGGAUUCAUUUCCUUAGUAACGUAGCUAACGCGUGAAGUUGACCGCCUGGGGAGUACGGUCGCAAGAUU
rnacentral:rRNA from 1 species